CAGACCGCCAGCUAAGGUCCCAAAGUCAUGGUUAAGUGGGAAACGAUGUGGGAAGGCACAGACAGCCAGGAUGUUGGCUUAGAAGCAGCCAUCAUUUAAAGAAAGCGUAAUAGCUCACUGGUCGAGUCGGCCUGCGCGGAAGAUGUAACGGGGCUAAACCAUGCACCGAAGCUGCGGCAGCGACACUAUGUGUUGUUGGGUAGGGGAGCGUUCUGUAAGCCUGCGAAGGUGUGCUGUGAGGCAUGCUGGAGGUAUCAGAAGUGCGAAUGCUGACAUAAGUAACGAUAAAGCGGGUGAAAAGCCCGCUCGCCGGAAGACCAAGGGUUCCUGUCCAACGUUAAUCGGGGCAGGGUGAGUCGACCCCUAAGGCGAGGCCGAAAGGCGUAGUCGAUGGGAAACAGGUUAAUAUUCCUGUACUUGGUGUUACUGCGAAGGGGGGACGGAGAAGGCUAUGUUAGCCGGGCGACGGUUGUC
rnacentral:rRNA from 1 species